AUUGAACGCUGGCGGCAGGCCUAACACAUGCAAGUCGAGCGAGCGGCGGACGGGUGAGUAAUGUAUGGGUAUCUGCCCGAUAGAGGGGGAUAACUACUGGAAACGGUGGCUAAUACCGCAUACUAUCGGCUGAACCCAUAUGGGAUUCGCUAGUAGUGGGGGUAAAGGCUCACCUAGGCGACGAUCUCUAGCGGGUCUGAGAGGAUGAUGAGGCAGACUGGAACUGAGAAACGGCCCAGAGUCGUAGGGGAGGCAGCAGUGGGGAAUAGUGCACAAUGGGCGCAAGCCUGAUGCAGACAUGCCGCGUGUAUGAAGAAGGCCGUAGGGUUGUAAAGUACGUUCAGCGGGGAGGCGUUACCCGAAGAAGAAGCACCGGCUAACUCCGUGCCAGCCGCCGCGGUAAUAC
rnacentral:rRNA from 1 species